AGAGUUUGAUCCUGGCUCAGGAUGAACGCUGGCGGCGUGCCUAAUACAUGCAAGUCGAACGAAACUUCUUUAUCACCGAGUGCUUGCACUCACCGAUAAAGAGUUGAGUGGCGAACGGGUGAGUAACACGUGGGCAACCUGCCCAAAAGAGGGGGAUAACACUUGGAAACAGGUGCUAAUACCGCAUAACCAUAGUUACCGCAUGGUAACUAUGUAAAAGGUGGCUAUGCUACCGCUUUUGGAUGGGCCCGCGGCGCAUUAGCUAGUUGGUGAGGUAAAGGCUUACCAAGGCAAUGAUGCGUAGCCGAACUGAGAGGUUGAUCGGCCACAUUGGGACUGAGACACGGCCCAGACUCCUACGGGAGGCAGCAGUGGGGAAUCUUCCGCAAUGGGCGAAAGCCUGACGGAGCAAUGCCGCGUGAGUGAUGAAGGAAUUCGUUCCGUAAAACUCUUUUGUUUAUGACGAAUGUGCAGAUUGUGAAUAAUUAUUUGUAAUGACGGUAGUAAACGAAUAAGCCACGGCUAACUACGUGCCAGCAGCCGCGGUAAUACGUAGGUGGCAAGCGUUAUCCGGAUUUAUUGGGCGUAAAGGGAACGCAGGCGGUCUUUUAAGUCUGAUGUGAAAGCCUUCGGCUUAACCGGAGUAGUGCAUUGGAAACUGGGAGACUUGAGUGCAGAAGAGGAGAGUGGAACUCCAUGUGUAGCGGUGAAAUGCGUAGAUAUAUGGAAGAACACCAGUGGCGAAAGCGGCUCUCUGGUCUGUAACUGACGCUGAGGUUCGAAAGCGUGGGUAGCAAACAGGAUUAGAUACCCUGGUAGUCCACGCCGUAAACGAUGAAUGCUAAGUGUUGGAGGGUUUCCGCCCUUCAGUGCUGCAGCUAACGCAAUAAGCAUUCCGCCUGGGGAGUACGACCGCAAGGUUGAAACUCAAAGGAAUUGACGGGGGCCCGCACAAGCGGAGGAACAUGUGGUUUAAUUCGAUGAUACGCGAGGAACCUUACCCGGGCUUGAAUUGCAGAGGAAGGAUUUGGAGACAAUGACGCCCUUCGGGGCCUCUGUGA
rnacentral:rRNA from 1 species